GGCCGCCGAAGCUCCGCUGAUUUCCGAGCAGGGGUACGCUUCCUAUCCGGCGCCGCUAGGACCCGGCGCCGCCAGUUCGCUCUCGCUUGCGGAAGGUAUUUAAGAAGUUGGGGUUCCUCCAUUCAUUGCUGGAGGCUGGAGGCUGGAUUCUGGACGCUGGGAUUCUUUGAGAUGACAGUCUCCUCCAGGCCUGGGACCAACAUGGAUUCCUUGGUCCCAGUAUAUCUUUAUCUCUGACUGGAUAAUUUGAGACAAGAAUCCUGUCCAGUCAAUUUUACUCUCCCAUUAAUAAAAUAUUAAAAACUC